rnacentral:siRNA from 1 species
UGGCGAUGGGUGUCACUCCACCA